rnacentral:lncRNA from 1 species
CCUCCCAAAGUGCUAGGAUUACAGGCACAAGCCAUUGUGUCCAGCUCCUGACUUUCUAUCUUAAUAUCCCGUUUUAUUUACUUUGUAUCACAUAUUGAUGUCAAGUAUCCUCCUUUCUUUGUUUCACAUUAAAAUGUAAGCACCAGGAGAGCAGUAGCCUUGUCUAAAUUGUUCACUGCUGUCCCCUCAGCAUCUCAAAGUGCCUGGUACACAGGAGGAUUUAUUCAGUAUGCAUGGAAUUAAUGAAUCCUAGGAACACUUCAAGAUCUCUAAUGGAUAUGUUUAAAAAUGCAGAUUCCUGCAUCCCACCUUGGAGACCCUGAGGUGAAUCGCAGGAAUCCUUGCUUUUAGCAGUUCCACAAAUGAUUCUGAUACAUAGGAGUCUAGCUGUCUCUAAGCUCUUUGACCACCCCAGCAAUAGAAACAUUUUGAGGAAGGAAUACAAAAAUAUAUGUAUUUGCUUAUUUACAAAUUAUGUUCCUAUAUCACUGUGUUAUGUUAUAUUUAAGUCAUUUUUAUUAACAUAAAAUCUCUUAUAUUCUUAAGUAGAUUAAUAAUCUGUAUGCUUAGCUUUGAAAUGUUCUUGCUAAUUAUAUUUUCAUAUUAUCAAUAGGUCAAGGUUCAGUAUAUAUGAAAGUUAAGGAUCAUUAUUAACAAUAGUAAACACGAAAAUAAGUUCAAAUACUUUUUUUGAUAAUCACUUUCUUCCUGGCAUUGCGGCAAAUCUGAUUCAGUCAUCGAUUUUAACAUGAAAGAAGUAUGGAUUUGGAGUAUGAGAAGUGUCUGUUCUGCUGUUUUCUUGUGGUUGCUUGUGUUUCCUUUUUUGGUAUUAUCUUCUAACUGGAGUUUCUUGGUAGGCAUUAGAUUACAUAGUCCACUGUUCAUUUUGGCAAUUUAGUUAUCAUUGGAUAAUAUGACUUUAGUGUGAUAUGUCAAUGAGAAGAUGUGAGGGCACCUCUGUUCAUGUCUCCACAGUCCAGAACUCCUGAAUGGUGCCCAGCUUACCUGGUGAGUGAGCCAGGAUGACCGGGGUCACCAGGGUGAAAGUGUCUGUUGGUGUUACUGCACCUUAACUUUUAAGAUAAUAAAUACAAAGGAGACUGAUGGAAAGUAAUACAGGAUGAGUUUGGAGAGGAUGGCAAGGCGUUUUAAGUAAGAGUAAAGAGUUUUGCUUUAUCCUAAGUGCAAGGAAAAUCAUUGAAGGGUUCAUGCAGAUGGGUGAUAUGAUCAUAUUUUUGGUUUUUGUUUUGUUUUAUUUUUUGGAGAGUGCUUAUUUUUAAUUUUAUUCUUUUAAAACUAAGGCACAUUUGACAAAAAAACGCAUAUAUUGAUGGCAUAUGAGGUGAUGUAUUGAUAUAGGUAUACGUUGUAAAAUGAUACAAUCAAGCUAAUUAACAGAUCCAUCACCUCACAUACUUAUUUUUUGUUGUGAAUAGAGUUGAGAUCUAAUAUCUUAACAAUUUCCAAGUAUUCAAUACAUUAUUAUCAACUAUGGUUACUAUCCUACAACAGAUAUCCAAACUUAUCCAAUUUGUGUUUAUCAGAUCACUUGGGUCUCCAUGUAGAGAAUGCACUGAAGAGGCCAAGGAUGUAAGUCCAAAGCCCAGGGAGGAGACCACUGGAGUAGCUCAGACAUCAGUCCUUGUCAGUACAUAUCAACUAUCCUGAUGUUAUAAAGUCAUACUCUCAGAACCAUAUUUUGACAUGUUAAUAACCAUCCACUUAACAAAGAGUCUGACUAAAUUUAUUUAUAAGGGAACCCCAUUUUAUGCUGUCUUGGCAAGACAAAGAAAAUCCAAGUUGUGCAUGGCAGUAAAGGGGAGCCUGGAAGCAUCUCUGGCAGUUCCUUUCUUUCCCAAUUCUGAAGUGGGAAAAAGUGAGAAAGAAGAGAAAGUGGAAGUAAUGAUGAAACAAAUGUGCAAAGACUGACCCUUACUGAUGUGCAUCAAUGAAAGGAGGACAAAGCAGGCUUCUACCUCCUCUUCUUUUUGUAUUUUCUUUCCUCUCUUCUCAGUUUUUCCUAUUUCUAUUUUUCUUUCUCUUCAUAAGCUUUCUUCUCAGUUUUUACACUCCCACAUUACAUUUCAUCUUGGUCUUUGUUUUUCUUCCAAUCCUGUAAUUUAUUUGGUACCCAGGGGAUAUAUCUCAGGAAAUCUGUUACCCUAUGUCUCUUUGCUGUCUAGUUAUUUGACAAUGUUUCCUUCUCUAAUAAAGUUUUCUCCUUCUUUAUGUUCCCUCUCAUAUGUUAUCCCUUCAUUAUAUUAAGAUACUCAAAGAAAGGAAAAUGCCUUGGCUGUCUUUUCCACCAACCAAGCUGGAUGUAAUUCCACUGUUUGCUGAGAAAAGAAUUGCGUGUGACUCACAGGGUUUAUCUUUGUCCGGACGCUCUGUUCAUCACGGGUUAUGUUGUUUGGCUGUGAAAGAUGUAUAUUAUGCCCAAAUUAUGUCAUCUGCCCAAAGAUUUGCAACAAAAGCUGGUCCUGGUACCUCCAACUUCUGCACAUACUGAUUGCUUUGUUUAGUUCUCUGCAUCUAAUUUUUAUAUUUUUAAAUCCUCUCCACUGAAUUUUAGCUGGAGCAGCACAACCCACCAUAAUUUAAACGGUUUUAUCAAUUGUGCACAAAAGGCCAAAUAGCUCCAAGCACCUUGCAGCUCCCUCAACUGCGACCUCUAUUCCUGUCUCUUAUUCUUUCCCUACCACUACCCUUCUCCCCAGUACACUCUUCCUUAUAUUUUAUAGUAACAGUACUGUUAGAAAAAUAACACAUAAAGGCAAAUUCUACUGGAAAUUGUAAACCACUGGCUGGCCAUCAGACCAGUAUCACUGGUAUUAUACAGACAUCUAUUAUUUCCCAGCAGAGGAAACGGAUGUUGUCAGAAGUUCUUAUUCUGCACCCGCUAUAAAGACAAUGAGAUUAUACAAAUGCAUAGACUCAAGAAAUAUGAUCAAUGCCCUUGUGGUUUCUGUGAUCGGUUUCUGUGAUGAAUGGCAAGCUGCUAAGAAGGAUCAUUUAAAGUGGAGGGAGGAAACCUCAGGGUUAUAUAAGAUGGUGCUUUUUAAAGUCAGCUUUGAGUAUUUCCUUGUGCGUUUCAUGAAUCUGAUUAUUAGCACUGCUCAUGAUGAUAUAGUGUGGCUAUCUCAGAGAAAUAUUGGGGCACAUUAUUAUUUGAUUGAAAUAAAUGGGAAGAAAGAAAACUAUACUCAAAAUAUCAUUCUUUUUAUACCAGAAAGAAGUUCAAGAUGACCCGGUCCAACUCCCUUAUUCUUCAAUAUAGAAGCUGAGUCUCAGAGAAAUUAAAAGUCUUGCUCAUGUCACAUAAGCAUUUCUAGACAAAAUCUGCUCCAGGAUCAAGAUCUCUGGUCUCUAAGAUUGGUGCCCUUGUCACCUCUUUGAAAUUCAUAAAUAUGUAAUUUUUCUCUCAUGCUAAUUCUCGUGAUAAUUUUUGUAUUUCUCUGCAUCGCUAGGUCAUUUUUGAUAGUUGUAACAAAUUCAACAAAUAUAUAUUC